GUGCGUAACGUCCUUUGCUCUGUAUCCCCUUAGAAGAAGUCCAGCUGUGUCACACUUAACAAAUAGUUCUUCAUAUAUUACGAUAUGGAAGCAGAAACUAAAGGUCGAAACUCAUCGGCUUUCCGUCGCCAAGUGUUAUCAAGACACCUCAUCGGCCACGAGUGGAACAAAGGCUGAUUGUGAUGGUGGCUGCUGUUUAUCAGACUGAAGACUGUUGAAUAAAGUCUUGGGACGAUGUGGUGAUCUUGAUCUUGUCCAUGGAGACUUUGGAUCAGCUGGAAUAAGAGCCUGAAAAGCUUGGAGCUCGUUGGAUGAAGAUCUGCAGGCUGAAAUGAUCCUGUGGUGGAACGUGACCAGCUGAGCAGUGUCACAGGGUGGGAGCUGCUGGUCACGAGCUGACGCAGUAAAACAUGAGGCCACUUGACAGGACCACUGGCAGUCUGGUUAAUGGACAAUGUGUUGAAUUUGCUGAAUAAAUUGUGCUUUAUAAAUGGUU